CCACUUAAAGCCCUGGCUGGGUGGCUCAGUUGGUUAGAGCGUCAUCAAGAUAUGCCAUGGUUGUGGUGCAUCCUGGUCAGGGCACAUACAAGAUACAACCACUGUCCUGGCCAACUGUGGCUCAGUUGGUUGAGCACUUGGUUCAAUUCCCAGUCAGGGAGAUUGGAAGAUCACA